rnacentral:rRNA from 1 species
CCUACGGGAGGCAGCAGUGGGGAAUAUUGGACAAUGGGCGAAAGCCUGAUCCAGCAAUGCCGCGUGAGUGAAGAAGGCCUUCGGGUUGUAAAGCUCUUUCGGCCGGGAAGAAAUCGGCGACUCUAACAUAGUCGCUGGAUGACGGUACCUGACUAAGAAGCACCGGCUAACUACGUGCCAGCAGCCGCGGUAAU